ensembl:lncRNA
AUUCAUAGUGCUUCUACCAAGCACAUGUUUAGGUUUUGGGGAUUCAACAGGGAACCAAACGGAUAAAAAUUCUGGUCCUUUUAGAGCCGUCAUUCUAGUAGGGAAGGGAGCCGUGGUGGUUAGGACAUCUGCUCCCUUCUCAGAGCCAGAGGAAGGAGUCCUGUGAUGCCUGAAACCUGGAUUUGGGGACCUUCUGGGGCAGCAAGCAGGAUAAGCCCCACACAGCAGAGUAUUCCCAGCACAAUUGUGCCUCUCAGCUCCCCUUACUGCUGCUGCUGCUAAGUCGCUUCAGUCGUGUCCAACUCUGUGUGACCCCAUAGAUGGAAGCCCACCAGGCUCCCCUGUCCCUGGGACUCUCCAGCUGUACAGAUGUCAGACCAGCAAUCUACGCCCUUGUCGAGGUGGCCCCACACAGCUUCUCAUGGCAUCUCCGCUGCAGGGUCUCUGGACCUCAGGACCCUUCAGCCAGCUCUGCUCUCAGUUUCUGCACUACUCGGACAUUGUUCUCCCUCUGCCACUGAGGAUUUGUCUGUAUAACAGCCGAGUUUCCAGAAGUUCAUUCACUCAGGAUUGUGUAAGCACCUAAGUCCCUGAAUUAAGCCCCUUGGCAUCUACGUGGAAUACCCCGAAGAGAUUCUGCCAUUAGAAGAGUUUUCUGAACCUUGACUGGGUGCAUGGCCUGAGGACUUUGCUACUGUGAGGUUGACCCCUGCUGGGCAGCAGUGAUGGCAGAAGCCUCAAACGGGACAGCUUCAUUUUGGGAAAUGACACUAAAAGGCGAGAAUGGAGGAGCAAUGAUUUGGAAGGAACCUAAGUCCUUGAGUGAUCAUGAGGAGCAGAGAUGCCCUGCUUACCUCCACCUUUCACAGAGGCAAGAGAAAGAAACUUUCUUGUUCAUUUGGCUGUUACAUGAUUGGGUGACGGAAAGGUGUCAGCCUCUCAGCUCAAACUAGUUUGUGAUUGCUCUUCUUCAGAACAGAUGACUC